UUUAUUUGAUUAAGAUUUUUUUAUGCACCGAACCACGUUUUAAUUUUCACUAAAGUCCACUUUGUAUAUUUCAAAUAUAAUUCAUUUCACUUACCUUAAAUUCCCGGAACCAUCUUAAUCCCUAGUCCACUGGCCCAUCUGGAACAAAACCUGAAAAAUUUAAAACAAAUUUAUUAGAAAAUUUUAUAGAAAUAAUUAAAAUAAUUUCCACACUUUUUUUACUUACCAUUUCAUUCUGCUUCCAUCCGCCAUCUUUCAGAAUCGCCAUCAAGUUUUUUAUAGGCCCAAGACAGCCAACAUGAUCCCUGUAAAGAAAAGAAAAAAAUGGUUGUGUUAGAUAACAACACCACUAAUAAAUUUUUCUAUCACUAUGUUUUUGUUACUUACCUUAUUUAAAAUCCCCUUAUACGGCCGUAGAAAUCCAUCAGAACCUGCAAAGAAACAAAAAAAAUAAUAUAUUAUUUUAAACAAUUUGAAUUAAUAUUUUUAUUAUUUUAUUGUUUAUUUACCAGAAAAAUGCUUACCUCGUCGUUUCAUUGAGUUUUUUUAUUUGGGUGCUUCUCCUUUUACCCACGCGUAGUAUUCUUCUUAUUUGCCUUCUCCUCUUCCAUUCAAUCAAGCAGCUGUUCACAAUACGUCGCCGCCUAGCCAGUUUUUAACGGAGGUGGCAACAUAAUAGAAAAGGGAUUUUUUUCUUUUUUUUAAGAAAGAAGAAGAGGAAUAAAAAUAACAACAAAUAGCUUUAGAAAAAAUUUUAUGUGGGCAAACAAAUUGCUGAAAAUUUGUUGAAGCCAUAUUGGUAACCGAGAAAGAAACAAAUGUCGGUCCUUUUUGAUUUUUGCUCGGAGAGAAGAAGAAGGUGGAGUCUGUGGCCUCGUCAGAAGAAGAAAAAACUUAAAUUUUUGAUUUGUAUUUAUAAAUAAAAUAAAUUUUAUUUACAAAAAUUUUAAACUUAAAGCUAAACUUAAAACUAAAACUUAAAAAUAUAAAAAUAAAAUAAAGAACCACAAAAUAUACAAACCUGCAAUCACCGACUCCAUCCAACGAGGGAGAAGCUGUUUUCCAGCACCACCACACCUGGGGUGCUCUGGUAUAAGUUUUGGUUUUCGACCUUCUGUGAGUUUGCACCCGGACGACAAGACGGACCGGACGAGUGUCCUUUUUAAAUAAUUUUCUAUAGAAAAAAGGAAAGGUUAGACUAUAUAAAUAUAUAUUCGUAUUGCUAGGCUUACCUAUCAUUCAUCGUAUCGAAUCUAUCCCGUUUGCGUUUUUUGAGCAGGGUUGAGCUCAGGCCUCUUACAAUGUAACGCGUGAUUUUGAGAUCUCAGGUGGUCUUAGCCAUAUAUAUUUAUAACAAAAAAACCUGUAAAAACAAGCAAAAUUAUUUAAAAGGUGGGUUAACUUAAAAUAUAUUUUCAAUUACUUACCUGUCCGUACUUUAUCCGUACCUAAUACGAACGGACAGGAAAGCCUCAUUCGCCAAAAGAACUCUUCCCGCUCUAUAAUUGCCUCCCGUAAACCAGCUAGUUGCCGCAAAAAAAGAAUUGCCAGAUCCGGUUUAGCUCCGAGCGGAAUUAUGAACUUUUCAAACGCAAACAUAAAUUUGAGUUCAUAUAGUUUAACCUCAAUCCAAACCUA